UUCUCUUCACACGCAUGCGCGGAGCCCGCCCGUGCUCCUGGGUCCUCCACCUCCCUGCUCCCUCUUCUCCUCUCCUCCGCGGACUUGGGGUCCGCAGGAGCCCUCCCCCGCCACCGGGAGGCCAGUCUCCUACCCGGCAUGUCCACCUCCCGCCGCGCUGCUCGGGGCUCCCCUCCCCGCCCCUUGCUCGUUCCCAGAACUGGGCCUGGGUUAGUGCGGGGAAGGGGGGUGUGGUUGUCGAGUGAAUAAGCGAGUGGUUGGGGAGGCUUGGUUUCGGCGUCCCAGAGCCCGAUUGACUCAGCUGAAAAGUUCAGGAGAAACAGAGACUUUUGCAGGAGCAAGCUGGGGGCCAGGGGAGGCGAGUGAGGAGGGCAAAGGGUCUGUUCCCUGUCACUCUGACAGAGAGAGGGGCUUCCUGCCAGGAAAGAGUGGUUUCUGGAGCAGACCAAGGAAGGAAACACCGCCCGAAUUCACGGAAGAGGCUGAGGACUCUGGCUGGAAACACGUGGCCGGCUUCUCGCCUCUCUCCUGCGGCUAUUUGCCCCGUUUCCUGGCCAAGGUAGAAAGAGAACCAGCCAUUUUGCUCAUCAUCAACAAACCUUGACCAAGGAAGCGUCUGCGUGUGCAAUGUGCCAUCUGAACUCUGGAGGCAUAAGCAGUAUGGUCACUGGUCCCAGCAUUGUCAGGAAGUGAAAAUGUAUCCAUGGAAAGAGAGCAGAAAGAUAAGACUACGCCCCGGGGAUAAUGAAAAAGAGAGGACUUGACUAAUGAGGGAUGGAGUUCCAAGGAAGGCAGUCCUUGAUGGGGCCAAGCAGCAUGGGAAGACGGGCGCUAUCAGGCUGGGGACAGAGCCCGAGCCAAGACCCAGGUGUAUGAAUGGACAGGACCUGAGAUGACCCAGUGGGUCAAACCAUCUGAUGUGGAAGAGGAGCUGGGCAGAGAGCAGAGGUCCAGGGACAGACAGGGAGCAGCGGCCCGGUGAUCAUCGGGGUGGUGACCAGCAGUCCCACAUGGUGACCAGCAGCAAAGUGAACUGAAGCCACAGCAGGGCUGGGGGUAAUGACAGGGCCCCCGAGGAGCAGCUUCGGGAAGACAGCAUGGGAAGGAAAUGGGAAAAAACGUUUGCUUUUCCUCCUAACGCUAGAAGAAGCAGACCCUUGCAAAGAAGAGGUGGGGCUGGGCAGGUACUUGGAUUACAUCAGCAAUGAAACUCCAGUGAGUGGCAGUGGGUGUGUGUGUGGCUGUAGUUGUGGGUAUGUGGGCUUGUGCUGUGGUGUGUGUACACACACAUGGGCACUCGGUAAGAGUCUUGUGUCUGUGCGAUAUGGCGUUUGUGUUGCUGGGGGCAUGAGUGUGCCUCUGGGCGCAUAUAGAAGCCAUAUGUGUGUGCACAAGCCCGCUCUGCGGGUGCGAGUGUGUUCGUGUGUGUCUCUUCAGUGAGUAGAGCCAGAGGAAGAACCGUGUGCAUGUGCCCCUCCACUUACCAUGGGCUCUGUCCCAAUAAACCCAUCGUGAA